AGGAGGAAGAGGAAGAGGGGAGGAAGAGGAGGAAGAGGAGGGAAAGAAGGGGGAAGCCAGGGGGGAAAGCAUGGACGAUGACCUCCAGGGGGAGGUAGGGGAGAGAGUAGAGAGGGGGGAAGACAAGCGAGGACGCUUGGAGGGAGGGGGAGAGCAUGGUGGAGGUGUGGGUGGAGGUGGAGGUGAGGGUGAGGGUGAGGGUGUAGGUGGAGGUGAGGGUGAGGGUGAGGGUGUAGGUGGAGGUGAGGGUGAGGGUGUACUACACCUGGAGUCUCGCGAGAAGUCCGAAGUCCGCUGGAAACAGAAACAAAAACAACAUUUCAACACAGACUCUCAGGAAACUGGAGCAAAGAGGUGAAGCUGCUCAAAGAGGGACGCUCAGGAGAACCUCAGAGGAACUCAGAGGGGAACAUGUUGCUGCACCCUGAGUCUCUGAUCGACUCCAGCUUCAGGGUUUCAGGAAGAUGCUUCACAUUUUUGCUCAGGGACUGAUCCAGAAUGAAAACUUCUCAACUAAAAUCCUCACUUUGUUUGUCUUUAGUCAGCAGAGACUAAAAACCCACACAGCUCUGCAACGUCACAAACCAGCUCUCAUGAAUGCUCCUCGUUUUAGUUCUCCCUCGUUUCAUAUCUAUUUCACCUUUUUUAACUCCAAAUUUCAUCUAUACCAUGCAUCAAAAUGCAAAAAACUCAAUCUAUUUUACAAAAAUGAUCUUUUAACAAUAAUAAUACAGUAAACUACUGUGAAUAUAGAUUAAAAUAUCUGUAAAGUAUUUAAAUUAAAAUAAUAAUAAAGUAUA